AUUUCUUUGAUUGGUUUUUAUUUUAGUUUACUUCAUCGCCAAGUAAUAGGUUGCGCACAUGGCACGAGUUUUGGGGUAUAGGGUUUUCUUAUAAAUAGGCACCCUUUGUAGUUCUUUUAAUUCAAUGAAGAUUAAUAAAAAUUGUUGCAUUUUCCUGUUCCUUUGCGAGUUAUGAAAACCUAAUUAGGUGUGAAGCCUUCCCUUCUUUGAAGGGCUAACUACCAUGGUGCGAAGCCACAUCUAUUCCGAUUCACCUCCAUCUUCUACCAUCCAUACUUCUCAUCUCGUACAAUCAUCCAGGAUUCAAAUCCGUUCUUUAUUGCAGUAAUUUUCCUCUCUAUAGAAGAAUUCCAGAUUUUGGCCCUGCAGGAGGGCUGAAACUUCGGCAGAACACUACGCACAAACCGUGCAUCGGUUCGAGUUGAGAUUUGGGGGUUUUGGAGUCCAUCCCUGGCCGACCGGGGCCAAGGUGGCCUUUUUUGAAUAGUGGGCCCCACACACGUGCGGCCAUGAUCACACGCACGUGUGUCUGGGCCAUUGUUGCUGUCCGUGUGCGGGAAUUGUCUUCUGGUUCAGGUUUUCUUCUUAUUUUACCAUCUCAUGCCAGUUUUUCAUAAACCCUAACCCUAGAUUGCAUUAUCCCUAAUUUAUUUGCCCAUUUUCUCUCCUUAGGGUUCCUUGAAUUGAAAUUGGUGAAUCCCUUGUAUUAGGGACUGAUUGCUGUGCAUGUGUGGAUGAUUACUACUUACCUUUGAGUAUCGUUUGGUUUAUAAUUUUAACAGAUCCAGCCCUAACAUGUUUAGGCUUGCACCCGCAUAGAUUCCUCUUAAUUAAAUGGUUUGGACUUUCAUGUGGGAUAUGGAAUUUGUGUAAUUGUUUCUGAACUAACGUGAUCUUAAGCCUGAAAUCUCAUACAUCAUAUUUGAAUUUCGUGUCCUGCAUCAAGGACCCAACCCACAACCCGACUUGACCUGAAUUCCAACUGAGGUGCCCGAACCAAAUCCAACCUGAAGUCCUCUAUGCUCGACCCAUCCCAAACUGACCUAAAUACACGUGAUUAUUCCCAACCUGAUCUAACCUGACCCGAAUCUAUUUGACCCGAACCUAACCCAAAUUCAAAUUAGGCUGGUGUUUUCCAACUUGAACCCAACUGAGGAGUUUGAUAGCCCGACCAAACCUGACCCAAACUCAGGUUGAGUCAACCGGGUUCGGGUUGAACCUUGAAGCCCUGAUACUAUUAGUACACAUUGAUGCACCUUUUAUGCAUGCGCAUUUUUUCAGCAAGCAGUGGAUAUUUUCCUGAGCCAAACUAUAGAAGGGAACAAUGAGUUGGCUUUCUCCUGACUUACAAAAGAAUUAGUUAGCUGAGAAAUUUCCCGAGGCAUUCAAUUUGCCUCUUCUAUGAUCCUCCGUGUUACGAUCCACCACAAUUGCUUGAAGGAAGACCAACUGCUGCUGAAAAUAAUUGAUUUCUUCCUUUUUAUGGCUUCUUCUAAAUGGAAAACCAGGCUGCCCCCAAUUUGUUUUGAAAAGUUUCUAACUGCAGAAUUCCACGUAACUGCAAUUGCAUAAAGCCCCAGAAAUUUUAGUUUAGGCGGGAUGCCACCUAACUGCUUGUCUUCCACAAUAAACUUUUAUUUUUUGCCUUUUUGACAAUGAAACUUAAGCCUUCAACAACCACCUUACCCCAAGGCAGGGUUUUAUGUAUUGUUUAUCUUUAAAUGUAUCUCACCUCCAAGACAUGGAAACAUGUAUUGAUAUCGUCUAUAAUAUCACAUGUACCAGGAAAUAUAUUGCAUUUUAGGGGAAACAUUAGGAAAAUGGUGGAAUUUGUCUAUGGAACUUCAGGGGAUGUUAAGAGGCACAAGAUUAUGCACAGAGGACUCAAAUAUUAGACAAAAAAUCAAUACAUAAUAGGUUUCCAUUGGAUAGGGGCCCCAACUAUGAGUUGUUGGACAAAAGCAAUGCAAUUAUAUCCAAAACGAGUUCAUAUCAUUCAAACAUUAUGCAUUAUGCAUAAUGAAAUACACAAAUAUGUAAAAAUUCGUUGAUCAGCCAGCAGUCAUCAGCAAACCUGUCUUGAUCCGAUAGGCCCGCUAGCUUUGGUUCCAUUUUCUCCACCUUCUUUGUGUUCCAUAUCUCAUGCUUCUUCAGGUUUUGUUAUUCAUGUCACUGGAGGAGGCCCUUGUUGCCUUCCCUAUCCAAGCUGCUUGAGCAGAAAUCACCGAUUGCCCCUGGGCGAGCAUGAAUGAUUUUUCUACCCUCUCUGAUGAGCACUUGAAGAUUUUGGUGGAGAUUGUUAAAGAUAUAAAGACUACAUGGCUCUAUUCAAGAUGAUGGAGGAAAGAAGGAUCUGAGAUCUUCAAUUCAGAGAGAUCCAUCAUUCUCUUCCUGCACCUAGAAGAUGCAGGGAGUUGUCAAGAUCGGGUGCUGGGCCAGAAGGAAAGUCCGUGGGUUGGGAUGCCCCCUGUAAACACAUCCUCAUUAAAAAUGUCUAUGUUUUACAAGCAAGCCAAGAAAACCAAUCAGUGCUGUACGAUAUUGUAAACUUACUCGGGAGAAGCAAAGGUCUUUGAAAGAGACUUCUUAUGAGAUGCUAUUCUGUCUUUGAAUCAGAUGAUGAAUGGUGUGUGUAAUAUCUAUAUCAUUUAUUUUAGUGUUGCUUGCCUUAAUUUUCAGACUUUGCUAGGAGUAUGCCCUUUUUCUUUCUUCUAUUCUCCCAUCUGAGAUAGGAAAUGCUCUGAAAAUUAACAAAAGAAAUAGAUGAAAGUGGAAACAGGUUAUCAAUUAUUAUUAUUAUUAUUAUUAUUAUUAUUUUAGCAUGAAGGAUGGCAUGGUACACUUGAGAUAUUCUUGUUCAUAAAGACAGUCAUCCAGAUGUGUACUUGUUUGUCACCUAAGUAUUUGUAAUUUUAAUUCAUUUGCAUCGUA